GACCAACUGCUUAGGAAGCACUGAUGUAUCUUAAGAGCAGAGUGCUGUUUCCUUCUGAGUAUUUUUGAAGCUAUGUUUUGUAGAGUAGAAGCAUUCCGUAUCUCUCACCAGAGUGUUCUCCUUCAUCUUUAGGAGGAAGUUUUUCACUCAGAGGGUGGUGACGCACUGAACAGGUUGCCCAAGGAGGCUGUGGAUGCCCCAUCCCUGCAGGCAUUCAAGGCCAGGCUGGAUGUGGCUCUGGGCAGCCUGGGCUGCUGGUUGGUGACCCUGCACAUAGCAGGGGGUUGGAACUGGAUGAGCGCUGUGGAUGCCCCAUCCCUGCAGGCAUUCAAGGCCAGGCUGGAUGUGGCUCUGGACAGCCUGGUCUGCUGGUUGGUGACCCUGCACAUAGCAGGGGGUUGAAAGUAGAUGAGCAUUGUGGUCUUUUUCAACCCAGGCCAUUGUAUGAUGCUAUGAUAAUGUCUGCCUUCAUGUUCUAUCCCCUUAAGGAAGCACUAUGUGGGAUCCUGGUCUUGGUGGGGAUACUGGGGUGCUUUAUGGUAAGGGGUAGGGAGCAAAGGAGAUGCCCUUCCAUGAACUGCACAAAAAGUUUGUUGUGCAGGGAUGGGCUGGGUACGUGAGGGUAAUGCAGGGAAGAUCUCCAUCCUUGCUUCACCUCUUAGUGGUACAGCUUGUAUUUCCAUGCCCCGCUGUGAACAGCUCUUCGUCAACUGGCAGAGAUCAGUGCUCCAUGAUGCUGAUAAUGCAAUUAGCAGCAGACCUGGAAAGUGUUCUGCAAAACAGACGUACACAGGGAAGACCAGGAAGGUAGCAAAAUUCCAAGAACAUCCAAUCUACCAAAAGUAUGACCUAGCAGUGAGUGCAGGAAUGAGGUAAGUUAGAGUAGAGCUCACCAAAGGCUUUGAUUUGUGUGCCUUCAGCUGUCGGGACCUGUAUUCCCCUCUAUACAUCAGGGUGCUAUGGGGUUGAUUUCCAUCCUGGACAGAUCUGCUCAUUGGUUCUGGUGCUGCCUUGUGAUUCUCAGCGCUGCCUCCUGGUGUGAUGCUGCUGCUUGUGAAGAUCUUUCCAGAUCACAUGAUGGAGAUGGAGACGACUUUAACAAAGGAAGAUGCAGGCUUCCGUUGCUGCUUCUUGCAGAAUUUGUUUCUUCUUAGUCAUAUGGGUUUUGCUCAGUUUUGCCAUUGCAAAGGCUUCUCAAGGUCUGAAGUGGUGUAGUCCCAAAUCAGAAACGCAUACUGGGAUAAUUGACUUGAUGAUGAGAAACCUUUGGUUCUGCAUGGCUGAAUAACCAUAAAAUGAACCAGGUACUCAAUAGCAAACUGCAAAGGGGAUGGGGGGGGGGCACACUGAUACUUCAUAAAGGUUGCAAAGUUAAGCAACCAAAACGUGGAAUGAGUGUUUGGUUGAAUAAGUAAUCCCAACUUCCCUUUGUGUGCACGGUGUUUAUUCGAUAGAGAGCAAUCUUGUGUUACUUACAGCUCUCAAUAAACAGAUAUCUAAGAUGAGCUCGCUCAUGUGUGAGUUCGGUCAUGUAAUUAAAGACUUUUGACACAUGGCCCGAUGCUCUGCCUUUAUGUUGGUGUAAAUGAGAGCAGAGGGUGGCUGUGCACCACACUGCCUGUGCUGAAGUGGCUUCAAUAUAGGCUCUUUGUGCAUCUAGAUGGCCAAGAGGGAUGGGACUGUCCCCUCUGCAGAGAGGGAAAGGGAGAAAUCUUAAUUAUCUGACCAGGUCUGUUUGUGCAACAGGUUAUGAAGGGUGUUCUCUCAAGCUGGGGGGUUGCACUGAUUUUGCAGGCAGGGUUUCAGGGAUGAAAUUCUAGCUCCCCGGGGGAUGGGCAGUGACUCUGGGGGAGGUGGCUUGGGGGAUGUUUGGAGCCCAUCUGCAGAAACACAGAGGAGCAGAGCAGGGCCUGCCCCGACCCCCCUUGGAGAGCUCUGCUGGCUGCGUGGGCUCCUGCACCCUCUGCAGUCCAGAGGGAUUGCUUGAGGUAAGGACCUGUUUGGCCAAUGGAGUCUUGUCAUUGAGCACCCUGUCAGCACCUUGGCUUUCUUACCCCCCAGUACAUCCAUGGUUGCAAUCCCAUGAGAAGUGACUGACUUUGGUACGGAGGUGCAAAUCAGAGCAUUGGAAGGAGGGGGGGGACAAUGGCAUGUGUAGGGUUUAUAUACUGUCACGUUCUUUGCUUUUUCUCAACAGGGAGGAAUUGCUGUGAUGAGUUUCUUGUCACUUUUUCUGGUACAUUUUUCUUCUUUUAAGAUGACAGAUCUCCAUGCUUGAACUAGGGCGUGCUGCUCCCCAAACCCAAACUCAUGCCAGUAGAAGUCAUCCAUGAAGUUGGUAUUUGUAGACUUAGCCCUGCCUGGCUUUCACUUGGAGUGUUGCAAACCAAAUUUGAUUCCUGUGUAGGUAUUUCUGUAUUUGCACUGCAUCCAAGGGAUGGUAUGACAAGCUCCAGCAAAUAACCCCACUUAUUUUUGGGGAAUGUUUUUUAGUAGUCUAAACCUUUCUAAAACCUUAAAGCUCCAUAAGCAGCUUAAACCAAUCUAAAGCCUUAGAUCAUUUUAAACAGCUUGUGCCAAUAGAAGGACUUAGAUUAUCUUAAAUGCCUUAAAGAGAUCUAAAGCUUUAGUGAAAGAAUUUGGCCAGUCUUGGAUUUGCUUGGUGGUUUGAUUGGAUUUCAUGGGCAUGUUGGUCAUCACUGGGUCAUUGCCCAACUGCUGUUGGGGAACAUGCCCUGAUUUUCUCUGUCUUGUGAUUUUGGGUAUUUGAGGGGCUGCCGUUUGAACACAGAAGUAAAUCCUGAAUCUUUAACCUUAACUCUGCCCUCAGGUGAAGAUCAUCUGUAACUUCUGUAUGCUGUCCCAGGUUCGUUUGGCUGAAUAUAUAUAUCUCACUUGAGAGAGAAGAGACGUUGUAUUACACCAAUUAAGGAUUUUCAAAGAAUUGUGAUGGCCUGAAUUGUCCUUUGCAGUUUAGAUUCUUAUCAGUUGCUUAUAGAGCUUUGAAAGUCUGAUCUUAAGACAUGGCGGCUUAAUUAAAGGCCUUUAAAAAUGUACAUAAAUGAAGGAAUGAGUCCAGACUGUGACUUCAGUUAAUUUGGACGUUCUCUAAUUAUUGCUUGCUUUGUGCUACAGCAUCAUCACAGUGUGAACAUAGGAUCUAAUACUUCCUUCGCUUUGCAAGGGGAAAUCAUAAGUAAUUCAGGCUCAGAGUUGGGGGGCUCUUCCUUUUGUGUUUUAUCUUAUUUUUGUAAUUUAAAUGAGAUGGAUUUUUCCUUGCAUGUCAACCAGCCUUGAAAGGCUGGGUUAUUUGAUUUCCCUUUGAGCACAGUGGCACAGAAGCUUUUUUUUUUUACUCCCAUUGACAGGUGGAGUAGCAUCCUCAGGAAUUAUUUCAUUAGAAGAUACAUCAAUAAUAGUACCAGAUACAUAUGAAGACAGCAUCAGAGCAGAAAUUUUCUGCUCAAACGCCUUAACCAAGAGAAGGAGCUGAUGCACUUCCUAUGCUGAGUGCUCGGCUGUGGAGUUGGGUCCUGAUGAGCUCUGCCAUGUGCAAUGUCUGCUUUCAAUCCCCGCGAUGUGCAAACAAAGCAGUUUUGUGCAGAUCUGACUUGGGGCAGCAUUUUAGAGCUUUCCUGUGUUAUAACUGCUUUAACUUGCAAGAAAGCUAAGAACAAGUUUUGGUUUCAAUUUUAGAUAUGGCUGUUUUCUCAGGCUUAAAUGUUGGUCUGCUAACAGGUUGUUCACAGUGAGGCUGCUAAAAAGUUCCAAUCUCCUGCAUUUUAUUCACUUUGCUUAUUAAUGCAUUUAUUCAUAGAAGCAGUGAGGGCUUGUUGGAAGGUGGACUGCUUUUCCUUUCGAUUUGCCACACGGAAUUCUUUUGCAGAUGGUAUCAUUCCUACUUCAUACUUAAAGCAAGAAGCAUGACUGCUAGCUCAGCACCUGAGAAUAUCUGGUGGAAGAUUCUGGGAUUUUUACACUUAAGAGCACUCAUUUUAAGUAAAUUAGCAAUAAAAAUAAAUAAUAAUAAAAAAACAACUCAAUCUGUACUGUAAAAUGCAUCCAGAAAUUCCAGGGCUGUGCUCAGUGCUGGAGUCUCACUGUGGCUCAGGCAGUUUGCCCUGGUCCCUCUCUCUGCUACGUGAUAAAUAAAGUUCCUUUCCUUCCUUAGAAUAUCUGACCCGGGGAGUUCAGGAUGAAGUUUGUUAGAAAUGUAAACAGGCUGCAGCUGGGUAAACCGCUGCUGAAUCAGGGCAGGGAGCAGAGCAGCCUUUUAAAUCUGGUUCUGUUUUUCCCCACCUCUAACCUGGUGAUGGGGACCGGGUUUGCUUCUGUCGCCAUACUGCAGUGCUGUGGACUUUUGUACUCGGCGUGUCUGUCUCUGCUUGGGUGAAACAGGGUGAGCUGGAGCUCUUGGGUUUCCUCCUGUCUAUCAGGAGCAAGUGCUGGUUUGGAGCUGGUGGACAAGCUGUGAAGCGCCCGCUUCCCUCUCUAUGGCAGCUUGGUGCAAUUACUUUUUUUUUUACCUAGCUUAGCCCCUUUUACUUUUUUCUCCUUUAACUCUUUCUUUGCUCCAAGCUCCUGAGCGCUCUCAGCUCUGCUCGCCUCUGCCCGAAGGCUCAAAGCAAAACCAGAGCAGCCAGUGCAGGAAUUCCCUAUUGCAUCCUCCUGCUCUAAGCUACCUGUCUCGCAUUCUGUGCCAUUCACAGCUAUAUGAUAGAAUGAUUCCUAAUGCUGUUUGCUAGUAGAAAAACAAAAGAAAAGUCUCUUCUUCUCUCUUGGAUGUUUUCUAUCCCCUCCCAGUUAUGGGUCAGGCAUUCAUGUGCUCCAGUUGCAGAGAGUCCCACUGAGCACAAAACAAUCCUGGGGUUUUGCAUGGACAGAAGCAGCUGCAGAUGGGAAUUGCCAUCAAGCAGUGCUGAAGCAAGAGUUAAACAGGUCUGAUACAAACUGUGGUGAGGCUUCUGUGACUGUUUCAUUGAAACAUCUAUGGCUGGUGUGUGUCACCCUGGAGCAGCCUCUGUGCCCCCCCCCUUUGCUUUGAGGCCAGGUGAGACCCUAGAAGUGGGACUGAAUGCAGAUGGACUGGGGUUGCUACAAGCAUUGCUAACUUCUGCACUGGCCCUUAUGGGAUGCAGAGAAUAGUUUGAGGUAUGGAGGGUUGUAGCAGAGAGCCCUGCUGCAGGCUGGAAGGUCCCCAGGUCUCAGUUUGCUCCCACAUGCAAACUGCAGCAGCACAAACAAGUCGGUGAUAAUCCACCCAGCAAUGGCAUCUUCCUUGGAAAGGGCCCUGAUUUCAGAAAGCAUCGCCGUCCAGAACAGUGUUCAAGCAUGUGCCUGCCUGUAAGCAUGAAUUUAAUUGCCAUCCUGGAGAAUGUUGUGCUUAAUCAUCUUCCUUGGUGCUUCUUCUGACUCAGGGCUGGUGUUGGCAUCCUGCAGGGUGCACCACGGUGGGAAGAGCUGCCAGGGCUGCAUAUGUCUCAUGUACGUGGCUGGGUGCUGCUGAGGAAAUGUGUGGUGGGGAAGGGAGCUUGAGGUUCUCUGGUAAAGAAAACAGCUCUUAAUUAAUUGGAUGAGUAGGGUGAGUUGCUAAAACACGCAGUGUUUGUGGCAGCAAAGGGUUUGUAAGGACAGGAGUUUGGGUUGAGGAUAAAUGAACCUUUGCAGCUCUCAGCAGCUUGCUGGAACUCCUCAUCCUUGCUCCCUUGGGACACAGUCAGCAGCUUGGGGCUUCUUCCAGGCUUCCUAGAAAGCCCAGAGGUUCCCCACAUCUGCGUGCCCAGGUGCAGGGAGCAGUGUGCACAAUUAAGGGUGUGCGUUUGGGAGCACCGUGGGAGAUGCAGAGCUGGGGACUUGCACCUGCCGGGCUGCUGACCACAGAAAUCUGUGCACAGCAGUGACACGUAACAGAUUUCCACCAUUGGUUUGAACUCCCUUUUCUCUGUAUUGAUACCUAGGGACUUGCAUGGUCGGUGCCACAAGACACCUCCUGCAGGGGAGAGGUUAGGAAUGUACCUCACAGUAUGAGUUGGUGCCGAUUCCUAAGCACAGCAGCUGCCCUACCAACUACUUGUGGGGAUGGCUCCUCAUGAUGUCUCCAAGCCUCAGUACUGCACCCCUUUCAUUCUCUGGGAUCAUAGAGUCAUAGAAUCACUCAGGUUGGAAAUGACCUUAAAGAUCAUAGAGUCCAACCAGGACCUAACCACACUACCCUAACUCGAACAACCCUCCACUAAAUCAUGUCCCUGAGCACCACAUCCAAACAGUUGUUAAACACAUCCAGGGAUGGUGACUCAACCACCUCCCUGGGCAGCCCAUUCCAGUGCUUAACAACCCUUUCUGUAUAGAAGUGUUUCCUGAUAUCCAACCUAAACUUACCCUGCACUACUUGAGGCCAUUUCCCCUCAUCCCUCAUCCUGUCACCUGUCAGCAGUGAGAAGAGACCAGCUCGGCUCUCGCUGUAAGCACCUUUCAGAUAUUGGGAGAGAGCAGUAAGGUCUCCCCUCUGCCUCCUUUUCCCAGACCAAACAGCCCCAGUUCCCUCAGUCUCUCCUCAUAGGCCAUAUUCUCCAAGCCCUUCACAAGCCUUGUUGCCCUUCUUUGGACCUGCUCCAGCACCUUCAUGUCCUUUCUGUACUGAGGUGCCCUAAACUGAGCGCAGGACUCGAGGUGAGGCCUCACCAAUGCCGAGUAGAGGGGCAGGAUGACUUCCCUGGUGCUGCUCACCACACCAUUCCUGAUACAAGCCAGGAGGCCGUUGGCCUUCUUGGCCACCUGGGCACACUGCUGGCUCCUAUUCAGCUGACUGUCCAUCAGUACACCAAGGACCGUUUCAUAGAAUGGUUUGAGUUGGAAGGUGCCUUUGAAGGCCAUCUGGUCCAACUCCCAGCAAUGAGCAGGGACACCCACAGCUCCAUCAGUGCUCAGAGCCCCUCCAGCCUGACCUUGGGUGUCUGCAGGGAUGGGCACUGAACACUCUCUGGGUGUUGAGCUGUGGAGAACAAGCAGAGCUAACAUGAUCCCAGUGUUACUGGGGAUCUUGGUACUGGGCCAGAGAUGAAGAUGAUUGAGUGGGCCUGAAUUAAUGGAAGGUUUGGGCACGUCAGGAAUUUAGGUGGAGUGUUUUUUUUUGUGCAGGGAGAUUGGUCUGAAGCAAAUUGCAGUGGGAACUUUUAAUAUAAAUUAUUUCUUAAAAGCACUUGGACAUAAGGACAAACUUGAAGAUUAUGGCUGAUUACUUCAAAAAGCAAAAUCACUCAAUUUGCAUUUGACAUCAAGGGGAAGAGCAUUACCUGCAUAUAUAACCUGGAAUGGAGUAGGCCUGGGGAGUGAGUGAACAUCUGGAGUCUUGCUGUCAGAUGCUCUCCUUUCCCAAUGCGAUACUCUUAAUGCUUUCCAGCUGAGCUGGAUCCGAGUCUUUAAAAGCACUAAGGAGAAGACCAUUGGUGCUCUCCAGAUAGGGAGCUGAGACCCACAGAUAGAAUCAUUAAGGUUGGAAACUACCUCUAAGAUCAUCCAAUCCAACCCCAACCCAGCCUACCAUGCCCACUGCCCACAUCCCUCAGUGCCAUGACCCCAUCAGUUCUGAAACACCUCCAGAGUUGGUGACCCCACCACUCCCUGGGCAGCUGUGCCAAUGCAUCACCACUCUUUGGGAGAAUAAAUUCUUCCUAAUAUCCAACCUGAUGGGGAGAUGGCAGCUGGAGGCUGUGUACACAGGCUGAGUUUACACCCCAGAUUUGCAAUCAGUUAUUUUAACCCAGAGAUGCCCUUAACCUGUCCAUGGAUGCGGGGCAUGUGUUGUCCUCAAAGAUCUGCUGUGAUUCCUCUCACCUUCUUUGCUGUCAGUCUAUAGUGAAAAGUUAAUGGUGCUGUUCUGCAGGAGAACUGCAGUGUAGGAGUAACUCCCUGUAUGUGAAACAAAAUGAUGUUGUGACUUUUGGCACAGUGGAAAAGGCUUGCCUUUCCCCUGCUGCUGUCUCUGUAGGUAUGUCCCUAAGGAAAGCAUGCCAUCUUUUUAUUACUGACCACGUAACUCAGGGCAGAGUGACAUUAUUUGUCAGUAAUACAACACCAGAGGAGCUGCACUGCUCUCUCUAAUUUUCCAAUAAGCAAAUCAAGCCACAUGCAGUGCUUCGCUAAACCCUUUCCUCUGCAGCUUCCCACACAUGCACGGUGUCUGCGUUCCUUCCAUUAAGUAAUUAAGUGAAGUUUCAUGACUGAAGCUCUCUCUUCCCAUGGGUGACUGUGAGAUUGCUUCACUUGUAGGGAGAAUCCAUUCCCCUGGAGCAACGAGUGGGCUCAGUGGGUUCAGUCCCAGUGAGUACUGGCUGUACAAAAUGGAGAUGUCCUUUGGUGCCAGUUCUGUGUGCACAUCAGAGCAUGUCUGAGAAGAGUCAGAAUGAAAGCACAGUAUCUAUUUCUGAAUUUUCAGUGCUAGAUGGAACUUAUAGUGCUCUGGAGCAUGCACAGACAUCUGUGUUGUUGCAGGACCUACCAAGCAGUGGUGCCUGGAGGCCUGAGCAGAUACAUGGCAUCACAGCCCAUCCAGGCAUGGGGUCAUGGGUAACUUCCUGGCCAUGGGCAGCUCCUUGAUUGUGGGCAACUCUUUGGUCAUGGGCAUCGCCUUGGUCAUGGUUAUCACCUUGGUCAUGGGCAACUCUUUGUUGGUGGGCGUCUCCUUGGUCAUGGGCAGCUCCUUGGUUGUGGACAGUUCCUCGGUCGUAGGCAAAUCCUUGGUCAUGAGAAGCUCUUUGCUCAGAGAAGAUGAAGCUUAAGCCAGGAGCUGCAAUGGUUAGAAAGGAGAAACAAACAGGAAGCCAUAAGGGUUGCACUGUAACAGAAGUACAGAGGGUACUGUGUUUUGUCACUGAGAAUUGUGAGAUAUUCAAGUGAUAAAUGAGAGAUUAGGGUAAAAAAAUAAUUGGUCUUACAGCAUUGAAAUAGAGGGGUUAUAAACCCCUGGGAAGUUUAAGAAGUGCCAGGAAAGCCAUGUGGGAUGCUUAGGAAAAGCUGGCUGUGCAGAGGGAUAGGACAGUUGGAAGAAUAUUGUUCUCUGCAGAAAGUAAAAGGGAAAGUAGCAGAUAAAGGCCAGUGGGAUUUCCCAGGAAAGUUUCUAAAGAAUAGAACAGUCAAAAAUUACAUUUCCUGAAAGCAGAAUCUUCUGACUAACACAUUUUGCCCUUUCUGCUGAGCAGGCUGUGUUAGUACGCUCAUAGCCAUACCUUUAAGUUGGAUAUUUAUUACUGUGCUGUAGAAAACUUAUCAUAGUUUCUGGACAACUCUCUCCAGCACAUCAUCUCAUGUAAGGCUGAACAUUGCUGCCUGUUCUUACUAAUGCUGCAGCAUUCGUGGGAUUUUCAGAAGCUUUGGGCUUCUGCUGUUGUGAUGCUGAUUGCCAGGGGAAUAAUUAGACUGGAUUAAAAAAAAAAAAAAAAGAAGAAAAAAAGGAUAUUUUAUCUUUUAAAUAACUGUCCACGGGUGUUAUUUUCCAUCACAUCCUGCUUUUGCUGGUUCUGCAGCUGUGGCAGGCAGAGCAGAAUGACACUUAUAUUUCUAUGCUAUUCCUUCCCAAAGUGCAAGACUGGAAGACAGGAAAAGUUAUUUCUCUAGAUAACAUCCAGCAAGCUCCCUGUAUUUGGAGGUGCUGUCUGCUCCAAGGAAAUCACGCAGUGGAUUAUUGCAGGGGAAAGUCAAAUUGCUGAAGAAACCAUUCAAACCGUGCAGAGGUGCAUCAUUUUAAGUACAACGGCUCAGUCCAUCCUCCACACUACCACGAGCGUGUGCUCCUGGAGGAGAGGCCUCCCCAAAGGAUCGUUGCUGAAGGGUGCAUCUGGAAAGAGCAGCCUGCAAGGUGCGGCGUGCGCGGUAGCAAUUAGGCGCUUACAUGCAUGCAAAUGCGGGGCAGCGGUUUGCCUGCAGCCUGCACUGCCUUCUCCUGCCGGUGGGCAUGGAGCUCCUUCCUGGCAAAGUAUGUCUUGAGCAUCUGCAGGACUAAUAAGCUAGAAAACAGGCCCUGGGGAAAACCCCUUUCCCUCCCCCUUUCUUUUUUCGCUUUUCUUUUUUGUUAAUUAAUUAAUUUAUUUUUUUCAUCGCAGAGAGCAGAGAUUUGCAAGACAAAAGCGUUCGCUUUGCAUUGUGCGUUUUGUUUUGUGUCUGUGGCUGUGUGGAAACACACCUGCCAUUUUACUGCUUCCUGCAGCAGAUGCAAAUAGAGCAUCCUCAGGAAAAUGUUACAUCCCUUAAAAUAAACUCCGCUGCUCAGCAGCGCGUGUUGCCUCUGGUUUCGUGCUGGAAUGCAUCUGCAAAAUCAGAAAGCCACGGGAUAAAAAUGCAGUUGCCCACCAGUAAUAAGGAGGAGUUCCUGUGAAAGCUGCGCUCGGCCUUCUAUCAUUUGUAAAGUUUCAGUGUGGGGAUGUUUGGGGCGGUUGGGUUUUUGGGUUUUUCCUCCAUCUCCUUCCUUCUUCCUCUCCCUCCUGUUCUGCUCUGGGGGCCCUCGCCUGGCUCUGUGCCUGCUGGCUGAGCUGCUCUGGGAUUGCUCUGUGCAGUGGACAGAGGUCUCUCUGGCUUCCUGGGGUGGCACUGCCUUGCUGUGCAUGGAUCUUUUCCCUUUCUUCCUGCUCCUUUGCUGUUAUAUGGAAAGCCCAAACAGGAAAAGGUUAAUAGGAGAAAAGUCAAAUAGAGCUGAAUAGGUCAGAAUUUGUCUUGCUUUUGGUUUCCUUGCUCCAGAGCCAGCCUGCGUCUGGCACAUAGAGACCUUGAAACCUGCCUGAUGGAGUUUCAUUCUUGGUUGAUCACAUUGCCCUUGAAAGAAAUUGUAUUCUGUUCUGCAGAAAAGCAGAAAGACGGAAGAGAAGCGAAUCCUUCAUGCAGCUGCUGCACCCAUGCAGAGCUCAGAGGGUGCAGUUCUGCACAUCCCAUCUGCAGAGGUCUCCAAGCAUCAGCUGCUGGGCAGGAGCACAGCAAGGCUUGCUUUUCUUCUCUGAUGGCUGCUUGUGAGGUUUUGCUGCUGCUCAGGCUGCCUGGAGCUCUGGUUUGCAGGAUGCAGGUGCAAGGAGGGGUGUGCGGAUGCUUGGGGUUUCUCACCUGAAAAAGGAGUGGUUGAGUCAUUGCGGAAGCUUUGCUAUCUGCAAAAUCGUAGAUAGGGGUUGCUACCAGCACUGAUUCAAGACAGAAAGCUGAUAAAGCAGGCAAAACCUACCUGGAGGUCUCUGUGGGUGUCUGAAGACAUUGUCUGGAAUCGGUUUUGAUUUUAGUCAAAAUAACAUCUGGUGAUCAAGCGUUGAAGUGGUUGAUAUGGGGGAACAUGGAUGUGCUUGGGGAUAAGGGUGAAGCACAGAGGUUUUUCAAGGGGUGGGUGAGGUCUGGUGGCCAGGGUGGCAGUGGCUGGGGGGGAGGACAGGGGUGGCUGUGCAGCAGUCCCAUAACCUUGGGUGCCAUGGAGCUGGAGCUUGCAGGAGGCUCUGGGUGGGACAGCACCAGGAAGGAGGUGUUAGGGGAAGCUUGGUAUGGAAGGGGCUGAGUAGAGCAACCACAAUGUAUGGGAAAAACUGGCUUCCAGAGACUGCUGACUGUUGAUGGGCAAUCUGCUGCAGGGCCCCAGUUUUUGGAAGCACCAGCGGGGCGGUGCCAAGCCAGGAUUGCAUGGAAGCACAUGGGAUGGAUCAGAGCCGCUCCCUGGGCACGCAGGUGUGGCUGUCACAGCCCAUGCUCUCACAGUGAGUGUUUGUCUUGGCUCAGGAGCCGAGCAGAGGGGUAUGGGGCAUGCCUGCCCAUGUGGACAGGAAUUCCCCUUGAGGCACGCUGUGUUCAGGCGUCUUUUCCCCAGAACUGCUGUUGGAUCACUAUGGCUCACUCCAGUUCCCCCUUGCUCUGGUUUGGCAGCAUCCCUCCCUGCUGUGUCCAUGGCUGUAUGAAUGGUCCUGCUCCUUUCCACACCUUGGUUGGGCUGCAAGGGAGACAUGGCACAAACUCUGCUCUGUGCUUGGCCUGCUCUGGUUGUUGGCAACCCUGCCCACAGCAAGGGGGUUGGAACUUGGUGAUCUUUAAGGUCCCUUCCAACCUAAGCCAUUCUAUGAUUGUAUGAUCUUGACUCCUUCUUGCACUUCAUCCCAACAGUGAUCUGUUGCGAUCCUUUUGGUUGCUCGAUGACUUGCAGCAGCAGGAGAGUUCUCUUCCAUCCUUUCUUCAAAUGUCAGCAUCUCAGAAACAUGCACAUUGAUUGCAUGGGUGGUGUGCAACACCUGGAAGAAUAGUUCAAGCCGUGGCUGACACUUCAGCCAUGGUGUUUUGUGCCACGCGUACAACUGUCCCCCUUCCUCACGAAGCUCUCCACAUCAGGAGCAGCUGAAUCUGUUUCCAAAUCAUAUUAACAUCUCUUAACCUCCCAGAUAUAUUCUGUCCUAGCAGAGCAGCUUGCUGAGGUGGUCUCAGACAGCUCUAAGCACAGUGCCACACUGAACAUUGAGCAAUGCCAAACAUUCUGCUUGGAGAAGAUCAGAGACUUUCUGCUUUUAAUCAUGUGCUUUCCUUGCCUGGUGAGAACAUCUCUGUGCUGCCUUGGCUAAUAGCAGGAAUCCUGAGAAAACACAGAGAGGGAUCUGCUGUGAAGAUCAGGCUACUGUUGGCUUGCCCAGACAGCUCUGCUCUCCCAGCAGAGCAAACCUCUCCAGCAGGGCCUCCAGUAACCUCACCUGUCCUCCCAGAGGUAAUUGUGGGCAGAUGCAUUGCCUGGGUAUGAUGUCAUUAUGCUGUGCUACUGCUAGUUUGUUAAAUGCAAGCGAAGGAGGUUGCUGAGAUGACUGGGAGCAUCAGCACAUAGCAUCAAGGACUCGAAUGGAUGAUGCAGCCAACUGGAAGAGAUUCCCUGCUGGAGCACUGUGGCACUCCCUGUCCUUUCUCAACGUGCUGGUUCCUGUUGCUGUGAGCUACCUGCUCGAGGCUCUAAGGAGGUGCUUGGCACGGCCGUGCCUGGAGUUUGUUGCCACAUUUUCUCCCAGUUGCUGGAUUUGCAAAGAGGUUCUCCCAUGGGUUACAUGAGCCUGGGAGCCUCCUCAUGCCACAAUAUAGGAAUAGCAAUAGCUGAAGGGAUCCAGUACCAGUGUAGAUCUUAUCCACUGUUUUCAAGCUAAGGCUUGAGUGUUGGUGCCCUCUGAGAUCUGACCAGUGUGCUCUCAGUGUGCACAGUAUCAGCUGGAAGCAGAGCAGGAAUUCAGGCUCUGGUCCAGCUCCCACGGUGUUCCAUGAGGUAGGGUUGCUAGACAUCCGUGUAACAUGAGAUUUCCUGCAUUUCAGACUUGAAUCCUGCGAGCUGUAUUGAAAACAUACGUGAUGCUAUCCUUCCUGUAUUUCCUGUACAGUUUUAAUAUGGGACGUGAGAAAUCCUGCUAUCAUCUGCCCCCUCCUUUACCAUAUUUCUUAGAAUGUUCUUCAUCUCCCUUCUUUUCCCCAAGAUUUUGAGUAUGUCCAUCAGCUGUUAAGGACAAAACAACCCCUGGAACACGUUUCAGGUUUUUACUUGUAUCUUGUAAUCCAUCCACUGGAAUUCUUUUAAGACCUUCAGUAGAGUUAACCAGACUGCCUUGCAA
ensembl:lncRNA